GGAACUCAAGCAUCGUGUACCGGCCUUUUCGUGGUGCACCAUGGGUAUGCAAAUCGCCGGCGGCUCCGGGCUUGUCGGCGACACCAGCUGCCAGGACCGGGCGGGGUGGCACCGUGGGGACCCCUGGGCGCAGUUCUCCCUCUCUCCUGUGCGAGUCCACCCGGGAACCGCGCCCAGUUUGCCUGGAGAGCAGCCACUUUGGGACGAGGAGGUGAUAAGCCUGAGGACAAAAGCCCGACAUGCUGAAGAAGGCAGAGGAUAAAGAUAAAAAGAAACUGAGUCCUUGCUGAUGUCCUUGGGUUCCUGAAUUAACCAUCCUGGAACUUCUCUACUGUCUACUGCCAGAUUUCUUGUUACAGGGGAUAAUAAAUCAAUCUUCUUGCUUCC